ensembl:misc_RNA Metazoa_SRP Metazoan signal recognition particle RNA
GCUGGGUGCAGUGGCAUGCGCCUAUAGUCCCAGCUACUUGGGAGGCUGAGGUGGGAGGAUGGCUUGAGCCCAGGAGACAGAGAUUGCAGUGAGCCAAGAUGGUGCCACUGCACUCCAGCCUGGGUGACAGAGCCAGAUCCUGUCUCAA